GGCGGCGUGCUUGAUAAUGCAAGUCAAGGAGAACAUUAUCUUCGGAUAAUAAGUAAACUGGCGAACGGGUGAGUAACGCGUAAACAACUUGCCUCAGAGAUUGGGACAACAUUGGGAAACCAGUGCUAAUACCAAAUAAUGCAGCGGGCUCUUCGGAGCACAGUUGUUAAAGUAGGCUUCGGCUUACACUUUGAGAUAGGUUUGCGUCCGAUUAGUUAGUUGGUAGGGUAAAAGCCUACCAAGACCAAGAUCGGUAGCUGGUCUGAGAGGAUGAUCAGCCACACUGGAAUUGAGAUACGGUCCAGACUCCUACGGGAGGCAGCAGUAAGGAAUUUUGCACAAUGGGCGAAAGCCUGAUGCAGCAACGCCGCGUGAACGAUGAAGUUUUUAGGAAUGUAAAGUUCUGUCGUAUGGGAAGAGAUCUUUCGAAUGUUAAUAACAUUCGUUAAUGACGGUACCAUACAAGAAAGCACCGGCUUAAUUCGUGCCAGCAGCCGCGGUAAUACGAGGGGUG
rnacentral:rRNA from 1 species